UUCCCAGUCACGAUAGACUGCGAUAAGCUACGGGGAGUUGUUUAAAAACGUUAUAUCCGUAGAUGCCCGAAUGGGGAAACCUUACUUAUUAUUAUAAGUAAUCAUUGCUUGAAUAUAUAGAGUAAUGAAGUGAACGCUGUGAACUGAAACAUCUAAGUAGCGGCGGGAAAAGAAAACGAAAGUGAUUUCCUAAGUAGUGGUAAGCGAAAUGGAAAAAGUUUAGAUAUGCGUUAUGCUAAAGCUUGCAGGCGUUGUAGCGCAUAAGUAGUGAGAGCUGUUGUGAUAUACUGCUUUAUAUCGUUAUCGGAAAAUUAAAAUUAUAUGAAUACUAUGGAAAGAGUAAACAAAGAGGGUGACAUUCCCGUAAUUUAAAAUUUUAAUUAGAUAAUAAUAGUUUCUCGAGUACCGCAGAGCACGUGAAAUUUUGCGGGAAUCUGCCCAGACCAUUGGGUAAAACUAAAUACUAAUUAGUGACCGAUAGUGAACAAGUACCGUGAGGGAAAGGUGAAAAGAACCCCGGGAGGGGAGUGAAAUAGAUCCUGAAACCAAUUGCCUAUAAGCGGUGGAAGCACGACAUAAGUAUGUGUGACCACGUACCUUUUGCAUAAUGAGCCAACGAGUUAUUGUAUGUUGCAAGGUUAAGUUUAGUAAGAACGGAGCCGUAGCGAAAGCGAGUCUUAAUAGGGCGUUUAGUAAUAUGCAAUAGACCCGAAACCUAGCGAGCUAUCCAUGUCCAGGAUGAAGUUUCAGUUAAAUGAAAUGGAGGUCCGAACCGGUGUGAUUUGAAAAAUACUCGGAUGAGGUGUGGAUUGGAGUGAAAGGCUAAUCAAGCUGGGAAAUAGCUGGUUCUUUCCGAAAUAUAUUUAGGUAUAGCCUCGAUGGAUUAUAUAGGGGGGUAAAGCACAGUUUUAAUUUUGGGGUCGCAAGAUUACCGGAUUUUUACUAACUCUGAAUACUCUAUAUUUAGAAGUCGGGAGACAGGCUACGAGAGAUAAGUUCCGUGGCCGAGAGGGAAAAAGCCCAGACCAUCAAUUAAGGUCCCCAAGUAUCUACUAAGUGGUAAAAGAUGUGAAAAUACACAGACAGCCAGGAGGUUGGCUUAGAAGCAGCCAUCCUUUAAAGAAAGCGUAAUAGCUCACUUGCUAAGUGUUUUUGCGCUGAAGCAUACACGGGGCUAAGUAGAUCACCGAAAUUAUGGUUUGUACAGUUUUUUAAAAUUGUAUGAAGGUAGGAAAGCGUUCUUAGAUAGAAACAAGUUUGACCGUGAGGGCAGAUGAUGGAUCUAAGAAGUGAGUAUGUUGGUAUAAGUAACGAAAAAACAGGUGAGAUUCCUGUUCGCCGUAAAUCUAAGGGUUCCUGAGAACGGUUCAUCCACUCAGGGUUAGUCGAUCCCUAAGCCGAGGCCAAUUGGAGUAGGUGAUGGGAAAACAGGUGAAUAUUCCUGUACUAUAAGAGACGUUUGAACGAUGGAGUGACGCAGUAGGAUAUGUUUAGUGAGUGUUUGGUGCUCAUCUAAGUUUCAAGGGAGAUGGUAUAGGUAAAUCCGUAUCAUUGUUGAACUGAGAAAUAAUGGGUCUGGAGAGGUAACUUUUUGGAUUAGACAGAUUUCACACUGACAAGAAAAACUUCUAGUGAGUUUUAUUAUAAUCGUACCGCAAACUGACACAAGUAGAUGGGCUGAGAAUGCUCAGGCGUUGAGAUAAGUAUCGUUAAGGAACUCGGCAAAAUAGCCUCGUAACUUCGGGAGAAGAGGUGCCUGUAUUGUGAAGUUAAAUUUGCAUUAACAGGUUUCAACAAAGAGGCCCAAUCGACUGUUUAACAAAAACACAGAGCUCUGCAAACUCGAAAGAGGAAGUAUAGAGUUUGACGCCUGCCCAGUGCUGGAAGGUCAACAGGAGAUGUUAGUCGCAAGACGAAGCAUUGAAUCGAAGCCCCAGUAAACGGCGGCCGUAACUAUAACGGUCCUAAGGUAGCGAAGUCCCUUGUCGGGUAAAUUCCGACCUGCAUGAAUGGCGUAACGAGUUGGGCGCUGUCUUAACGAUAUACUCAGUGAAUUUGUAGUAGGGGUGAAAAUGCCCCUUACCUGCAACUGGACGGAAAGACCCCGUGCACCUUUACUGUAGUUUUGCAUUGGUAUUUGGAUAAAUAUGUGUAGGAUAGGUGGGAGACUGUGAUGUUUAAGCGCUAGCUUAAGCGGAGUCAACGUUGAAAUACCACUCUUAUUUGUUUGGAUAUCUAACUUUAAUCCAUUUAUCUGGAUGAAGGACAUUGCAUGAUGGGCAGUUUGACUGGGGUGGUCGCCUCCUAAAGAGUAACGGAGGCAUUCAAAGGUUCCUUCAAGACGAAUAGAAAUCGUUUUUUGAGCGUAAACGCAUAAAGGAGCUUAACUGUGAGACCGACAAGUCGAGCAGAUACGAAAGUAGGAGUUAGUGAUCCAGUGGUUCCGAAUGGAAGGGCCAUUGCUAAAUGGAUAAAAGGUACGCCGGGGAUAACAGGCUAAU
rnacentral:rRNA from 1 species